UGAGAACCAUUCCUGGAUAACAGAGCCUA
rnacentral:piRNA from 1 species